GUGGAUUUGCAGCAGAAACACCCUGCUAAGGAACAAGUAUCUUGAUUCACAGCAAAGAGGACAAAGAGAAGCAUCAGGCUGUCAGGGUUGAAGGCUGGACUAUUUAAACAUUUUGUGUCACUUUGAAAUAGCUUGUGAAUUAUAUAUAAUCAGAGAAAUGGUCCAUCAUAAACAUGGUCUCAUGGCUCAAUAAGCCUCCUAAAGGAUUAUGGAGAUUAUGAAGAUAAAGAAUGAAUACAGACUUUUCAAGUAUGCUAUGUUAUACACUUCAGAACAGUAUUUUUGUUAACGCCUCUGAAUUUCUUCAUUGCCAACACGGAGAAACAUAACUUCCAUGAAAGUCGCAUAGCAGCUGCCCUCAGAAUGAGUGUUUAGUGAGUUGUUACCUGCAACUUAACUAGAGACAAAGGCAGCCCUUGUACACAAGUUUGAGUGAUAAACAUAACAUUCUCAAAGACAGAUAUUUUCAGCAGUUUGAAAUGAGUAAAAAAAAAAAAAAAGUGAACCAGAUACAAUUCAUCUGAAAUGAAUGCAAAUGGCCCUACCUUCUAUCUUUAAACCAUUAAAUGUAAAGUACAGGUUUUGGAAAUUUAUACCUACUGAAAAUUAAUGUAAACUUUUAGUUUUUUGGUAUAACAUGAGAGCACUUAUAAGAUGAAAAGAUUAUGUAAUAUGGAUUCCCAGAGUAGAAACUUGUGUCCAGAUUGAGGAAAGGGAAGUUCAAUAUUCUCCAAACACAGUAGCCCAUAUCAAAAACUUUAGAUUCUAUUUCAUUAGAUGUUAUCAAACUCACAAAUAUAUUAGGUCAUAAUUCUGAAGAAUAAUCAGAAUCAAAACAAUUGGGGAUAUUUAAUAUGGAAAAAAUAAAUAUUUGAGUAGUAUACAGUAGCUGUACUUGGAUAUUUGAAGGAUGAUCAUGUGGAAGAGGUUUGUUCUCUAUACUUGCAUAAUAAUGUGCUAAGCAGAUUGUUAGAACUUGACAUGCUGAGAAGAGAUGGUGGCCCAGGUCAUGAAGAGUAGCUGAAUUAAGGAGGAUAGACAACAAGAAAGCACAAAAGGUCUCCAAGACACCGAGAAGCAAGAGCAUGUUUGCAUUUUGAGAUAGGUUAGGCUGUGCUGGGGAAGAAAGUUCUACUAUCCUAAGAUAUUAUAAAGAGGUGAGAGAGUCUAGAUAAGGUAAACACUGAGACUGUGGGUUUUGACUACAAAUAGAACUUUGAAGAAUGUUGAGACACUGCUUAAUUGCUUUUGCAGUUCCUCGUAUAAUUAACAGGAAAGCUAGAGUCUACAACCGCUUCAGAAAUUUUCAAAAUUCUAAUCUAGAAUUAGAGCACAAAGAAAGACGAUGAAUGAGUAAAAGGAACAUUGUAAUAAAUUAUAAACUGGAAUUUAAUUAGCAGAGAAGGCUAAGCAUGGAGAGAUUAAAAAUAUCUUGCUUGAUGUAGGCUUUAGUUGACAAAGCUCUAGAAAACAAGUUUGGAGAAUAUUCAAAAUGGAAAUAUGGUUAUCAUCCUUACUUUGAACAGCAACUGGACCAAACCUCUGUGUUUACUCUUGCUAUUUCAUAACUUUUUUUUCUUGUAAGUAGUGGAUAUUAAAAACUGAAGAAAUUGUGGACUCAGAAUAGCCGAGUUCAUGUGCUAGCAAAGGGUGGAUUGAUUUAUUACCUGCUGUGAGGAAGAGACAAUAGCAAAUUUAAGUGGAGUCUACACGUUCCUCAACAGGAAUCACUUAAUGGGUAGUAUUAACCUCAUUCUCUUCGUUAGCUUUGCUAUGACUGUGUUCACCAUUUUUCCAGAUUUUUGUCUUAUAUCAGGAACUUGUAGUCAGACAAUAUUUUUAUGUCUCUUUAUUUAUAAAUACAAAAGACAUUGCUAAGACAACCAAUUGGGGAUUAAAUGGCAUAGGAGAGUAGAGACUGGAAUAGAAGGUCUGAAUGGAUAACCAUGGGCACUGUCACCCAGCUGGGGAUGUGCAAGUCUUGAUUCUGCUCUUUACAAAACUGUAUGACUUGGUAUAGAUCACCCAAUAACCCCUGUGUGUCUUCCUUCAUCUAUAAAACUACUUCACAGGAUUGUUGAAAGAUUAAACAAAUCAUUUUGUAACUUUGCCUAUUACAUGGCAGAUAGUCAAUGUAUGUUAAAAUUUCCUCUUCUCUGUGGCUCAUAUAGUCACUCUGUUGAUCAAGUCCACUAGCUUCCUUAGGGUUCAGUCUCCUUCUCUCUAAAUUCACGUCAUUGGACUGGAUGCUGGCAAACUAUCUUUCUACUUCCUCUUAGUAAAUUUAGUCAUUGUUCCUUUCAAUAGCCUACCAGUUAUAUAUAAACUACCUAUUUUGUACAGUGAUCAUCUCUAGAAUAAUUAAUCAUACAGAUAUUUUACUAGCUUUAAGAAUUUAUAAAGUAUGACUAAAAUGCAAAAUAACAAAGAGAUGUAACUACCAUGUUGGAUGCUGUGUGAUAACUUUGUGCACUUAGUACAGCAUCUAAGGUUCAAAGAAGGAAAAGAAAAAACCAAAAACCUCAGGAUAUAAAGGAAAGUACCAUGGGUGGGAUUAUGGCGGACAGCAUACACAUGAAAACGAAAGGGUUUUAAGAAGAGAGUGCAUAUAUAGGACCCUUCGGCUCAACAUCAGUAAUCACAACACUCAGAAGGCUGAGGCAGGAGGAUCACUGACAGUUCCAGGCUAUAUAGUAUGACCCUGUCCCAAGAAACAACAACAAAAUGGAAUGGGUGACAUAAUAGAUUAAUGUGGUAGAGGGUUCUCAUAAUAAGAGUAGAUAACCAGGUUUAAAAGCAAAGUUGUGCGAGUUUUAGGAGCCUUCUGAAUUGUUUCCUGAAAAGCAUGAACCAUUCUUUUAAAAAGUCAUUAUUUGAUCAUUGAACCCAUGAGUGUAAUGUGUUUUGAUUGAAUUUAUAUCCCAUUUCUUCACCUUCAAUUCCUCCUAUCCACCCCACGUUUUCCUUUCCAAUUUCAUAUCCUCUUUCUAAACUCCCUCAGUCCACUUAUUACUGCCAGUGUGUGCUUGAGUUGUGGGGCCAGCCACUGCAACAUAGGAAGCCUAUCAGGAACUACAUCUGAAGAAAAGUGGCUCUUUUCCUCAGCAGCCAUCAAUGGAGGGGGUUAAAGACUUCAGAGAAGCACCAUGGUCUCAGAAAAAUGAGCGUGCUAGAGAAAGAAGAACAAGGAACUCCCAGAUAAGAGGUAACAGCACUCCACCUGAAAAACUGUGCCUUUUUUUAUAUCAUUUUUGAUAUUCACCUUCCCUGGAUAUACUCAGUACUGGUUCCUACGUAUGCCCUUUCGCCUUUCUACUGGUGUUCCAGCUGGAUAGAUCUCUUCUAUGACUUGGAUGUAUCCCUCCCAAAUCAUGUCUGGAAACAUUAAUGUUUCAAUGUGUUUAAUAUGGGGACCUGGGACCUAGUGGAAGGUGUUCAAGUCAUGGGGCUUUCGAAAGCGAAUGAAUGCCUUUCUCAGAGGAAUGGGUUGGCUAUCAUGAGAGCGUCACCAUUACCCUUUAGUGUAUGUUCUCAUGUCCUCACUCCCCUUCAGAUUUCCACAAUUUUAUGAAGUUCCAUGAAUCCCACAGCAGAUAAAGCCACCAGAUCUUGGCUAGCCCAGUCUCUAAAACCAUGAGCCAGCAUAAGCCUCUUUCUCUUUUAGUCACUGGUUCCUAAAUCAGGUCAUAAUAACUCAAACAAUCUCCUUUGUACAACUCUGGACUUAACACAGCCGUUUCUUCUUAUGGGGCUUGGGAGAAGGAGGAGAUCGGCUACGUGGAUCUCUCCUACUGUAGUAGCUUGUCUUCCUCCUAACCACUCCCCUCCAUGAGACUGUAGCCUUGUUUAGCUAACCAUUACUGGGCAGGUGCUACUAUGAGUAUAUUGAGACUCUUCCCUGCUAUGGGGAUCUGUGUGGAGACCUGAGUCAGCAGAGCAGCGAACCAAGUCAGGCAAGAAGGAAAUCCGGUUCAACACCCGUUUCCAGCUUUCCUGGCAGAAACAGGUAUGCAUCCCUUCCACUGAAGAGACAGCCCAGCGUGAUAAAUAUUCCUGGUUUCCCUGAUCUUCUCUGUGAAUACAGCAACCUCAGGCCCUCUACACUUUCCUACCUAUAAUUUUUUCCUGUCAAAUGCCUCUGGAGGUCCCAAGUAAACCUCACAGAAACCUCAAGCUCUUCUUUCCCUCCAAGCCUUAUAUGUAUUAUUAGGUCUUUAGUAUUCCUCUGUCUUCUACCCUUUCUAGGCCUCCUGAUCCUUUUCUAUCUCUGAAAAUGAAGUCUAUGGCAACCAAGGGAGCCUCUUGCAGUAAGAGCAGGAGACCACAGGAGGAGAAAGUUAUCUUUGCUAAUUCGCCCAAGUUUUCCCUCCCUCAAGUGUUCUUCCAUCGACCCUGAUCAGGGUUGGGUGCUGCUACCACAGAUAUUUUUAAAUCAAGAAUAGCUUUCAUAUUUCCUGAGAAGGUAAAGAUGAAGAGAUUUGGAGAGUGAAACAAAUGGUACCCCAAAAAGAGCAUGAAGCUGAGAGCCAGAUGGAGCUUUAUGCAUUCAGAGUGUGGGUAGCUGCUUAUUUGUGACUGGUACAUUUCUUGAUUUCUGUUUUCUCAGUUGAAGGGGGCACAACACCUGACAGGUGACAUGUCAGAAACUGAUGCUCACCUUCUGCUCCUACUGCAGCCCCUCCCCAUUGCAUAUGAUACUUGCUGCCUGCCAUUAAUUUGUUAUCUAUUCAAAGUUGCAGCAGAAAAUAAUGUCACUGCUGAUUUUGAACUUUUGAUGAUUCUAUUAUAUUACCUAAUUUUGAAAUAUAUGAUUUUAAAUGGUACUAAAAUAUAAUGUUCUGUUCCUUAUUUAAAAUAUGUCAAGCAUUUUGUGCUUCUGAUACACUUUUGAGUGCUCCAGAUGUCAAAAUAUUUUAACAAAGACCCACUGUGAUGUUUUCCUCACCGUCUCUUCAGGAACGACAUCUCCAACGAUCUUUUCUCAGAAUUCUUUUCCUAUCCCUAGCCAGACCAGUCAUCAUUUUCCCCAACUGUUUCUAGAAUGUGGAAGACUCCAACAGAACGCUGUCAUGGUUUGAAUAUAAAAUAUUCUCCUAACAGGCCUGUGUGUUUGAAGGCAUGGUCCACACAUAGUGUUGUUAGUUCAUAGUGAUUAAAUUCUAUGGUUGUUGAUGUCAUCAGUGGGGCGAUCCACUGAGGAGUUCUAAAUGAAUGGGCUAUUAGGAGCUGGGUCUUAUCUGGAGGAGGCAGGUCCUUGAAUCUGCCUUUGAAAGGUCUAUCUUGUCCUCAUCUUUCCUUGUUCUUGCCCUUCUUUCUGGUUACCAUGAAGUGAAUAACUUCUCUCUACCAUUUUUCCACCAGACACUCUGCCACGGUGUUUCAGUCUUACCUCAGGCCAUAGCAAUGACCUCAGUACUAAAGGGGCUGAGGCCUCUGAAACUGUGAGCCAAAUAGCCCUCUCCACCUUUAGUUGGGUUCUCUUGGGUAUUCGUCACAGUGGUGGCAAAGCAACCAAUACAAACACAAACUUCAUUGCAGCAAAAUGGUGUGAUAUGGCCUUUGCCUUAAAAUACAACUACUAAAACUGUUAUCAGAAAUUGUACCUGAAAAAAUAAGUAUCUUUUGGAGCCAUGAAUACUAUUCCCUUAGUAAAUAUCAUCAAAUAUUGCAGGCUAACUCUGGAGCCAGUACCUAAAUUUUCGUCUCUUAGAGAUAAGCUGUGCCACCUUGAGCGAGUAAUGUAACUUCUCUGUGCUUCAUAGCCAAUGUGAAUUUCUUCAUUUUUAAAUGAGGCUGAUUAAAAAAAAUGUUAUUUCUGAGACAGUCCUAAUGAUUAAUCAAUUUAAUGCAUGUAAUAUAAUAAGAAGGUGUCUGGCAUAUAGUUGGUCCUAUACAAAUAAAUCUGCUCUGUUGUUUGCACAGUACCUGCCUGACUACAUGGUUAUAAUUUCAUAUAUUAAAAAACUUCAUUAAAAAAUACUGACCAAUAUUUUCCCAAUCCCCGAAUUCAAUUACAUAUAAAUAAAUAUGGGUAAAGAACUUACAAGAAUAUAUUUAUACUUAUUCUACUCCUUGGACACGGACUUGUUUGCCUACAAGAUGGGAUACACACAAGAGUUAAGUGUUUCAUGAGCAUGUCUUGUUUUGCUACUUAACAGAACUAUUAACAUGGAGUACUGUAGAUAAGUCUAAAAACUGGAACCUGACAUGGUGUUUUGAAAAUCACAAUGGUCUAAAGCCGUGAUUCUCAACCUUCCUAAUGCUGUUGAGCUUUUAAUACAGUUCAUUUUGUGAUGCUGAGACCUUUUAAUAUAGUUCUUCAUUUUGUGGUGACCCCCAAACCAUAAAAUUUCUUUUUGUUGCUGACUUCAUAACUGUAGUUUUGCUGGUGUUUUAAAUAAUAAUGUAAAUAUCUGAUAUGCAGUAUAUCUGAUAUUUGCGACCCCCAUGAAAAGGUCGUUCGAACUUCCAGAGGAGUAGUGGCCCACAGGUUGAGAAACUCUGAUGUAACCCCUAACUUUUGUGGCACUUAGUAGAAGUACAGUGCUAAUAGGAAGUUUCCUCCCCCUUAACUGUGAUAUGCUCAAGAAAGACGCAGCUUUUGUCACGGUGUUGUUUGGACAGCAAAUGCUCGCCCUGUACACACCAACAGCUUAAAGAGGAAAAGGAUGUCCACACCACAACUGGGGAAUAUCCAAAAUUGUAGCCCACAGAGUGAACACACCAGACUUGAUGGGCCUAGUAAGAUGGGGACUUUAAACACUGUUAAGUACACUUGUUAAAUUAAUUCUUCAAAAUUGUUUUUAAACAGAGUAAGUACUGCAGGCCCUUAAGAUUGCAUGGUUACUUAGUAACUUCCUGAAGCCACAUGAAUGCACCCUUCUCCUAUGGCAGCCAAAACAUAGAGAGCAGGAUCAGUCCCUUCUUGAUGAGUACAUGAAUGGCAGGGGGCGAGCUUUCAAUAUUUAACCCUCCCCUCAAAAAACUAGACUCUCAGAGUAUCCAUGAUGAUCCUGCAGCCUCUCAUUUUUACCUGUUAAGGGAUUUUCAUUCAGGAACUGAAACAAAACUCGCAAGUCUUUCUUGAGGCUGGUGUCAUAAAAAUUAUUUUAUACCAGCUGCCCUGAUAACAAAUUCACAACAGUAAUUGCUACUUUCCCCCAUAGUGGUUUGUUUAUUGCUUUGCAGUCAAAACAUAUCAAAUUCUUGUCUGACUUAGUCUCUCACAGUGUUCACUAGAGAAAUUCAGAGGAUUAGAAGCUACUUGAGAAACAUGUGCAUACAGACCUUGACUAGAUGAGGAGAGAGAAAAAAAAUGCACUAGUCAGACAUCAUGUUAAGAUGAAGAAAAUAAAGUUAUGGAUGACAUCAGAUAAAACUGACUCAAUCAGCACUGACCAUUUGCAAUUCAGUAGAUCAAUCCAUCUUCCCCAAAUUAAUUGAAAAUCCAAUAAAUGUACAAUGUGCACAGAUCAAUUGCUUUCCAUUAUAAAUUACCUGAGCCUAGUGGAGUUGAAAGAUUGUGGACCAGAGCUUCAUGGCUCUUAUGUAGAGUGAUUUUCAUGAGCUGAUAUUUGGGACUGAAUUUAUGUGUCUUUUCAGAUCAAGAACAUGACAUAAAUGGAAGUGAUAUUUGUUCUUUCACAGAGGAGAGGUCUAGCUGGUAAAAUACCACUCCAUAUAAAGUUUAUUCUGAGCUUAGUAAUUGUGAUCUAUACUAUGGUCUUUAAUAUUAAUUCUUAGAGAAUUCAAUUAAUACUUGGAGAAUGGGACUUCUUCUGGAUACCAUGUAUAAAUUUCCUUUUCUAAAGAGUCAGGCAGGGUCACUUUAGAAUUGCUCUCUCUUGCUACUGAGUUUCUUCCCUCCAGUAUGAUAGCUUUCAUCAGAUCAAGCUCCCAAUAUAUCUAUUUUAUUGUGUCCUUCCCAUGCUCAAACACUUCCUUUGGAAGUGAAGGUGUUCUGCGGCUGGCUAAGAAAUCACCUGUGUUUUAAGUCUAAGCCUGAACCAAAAAGACGCUGCAACUGUUUUGAUGGUCCAGUCCAGUUGUGCUCACUUUCCUGUGUCUGUAGGUUUCCCACUUCCUGCCAUUCCAGGAUGCUCGCCAAAUUAGAAUGGCCCUACACCCUCUUAAUGAAAUUCUUUAAGUACAUGUUUACUAUUCAGAACCUCUACUGCCCUAUUCUGGACUGUGAUGUUCCAAGGAAACCCCACCACCCCCACCACAACAUCUUCUGUGAAAUUAUUGGGAUGAUUUUCACCAUCUUAUCUUAUCUUAACUUAACUGGUUAGUUACCCCUAUAUGUCUGUUUUCUUUUGAAAAUUGUUUACUAGAACUACCUGGUCUUAAGUAGAUAUUGUAUUAUGAAGGCACCAGGACCUAAAUUUGAUUGUAUGUUUUCAUGUGUUUAAUUUUUAAGUUAAAGAUGAAGCUCCAUUAAUGCAUAGCUACUUAGAUUCCUUUUUUGAUUUUUCAGCUUUGGCAGUUUGUGUUUUUCAAGGAAUUUCCCAUUUAGUCCAAAAUAUUGAACUUCUGGUAUAAAUUUAUAUUGUAGGUAUUUUGGGUUUUGGAGUCUGUUUUCACCUUUAAAAUCACUGAUCCCAAGACAGUGAGAUGGAUCAGCAGAUAAAGGUAACUGAUACAAAAUCUAAUAAUCUGAUUUCAAUCCCUAGCACGCACACACACACACACACACACACACACACACACACACACACACACCACACACACACACAAGUAAUUUUAAGUCAUUGAAUCUUUUUCUAUAGCAUUUAAUUUGCUUUUGAGCUCAUUCAGUGGAUUCUACAUUUCAAUUUUAGCUCUAAAUGUCACAUUAGUGCUUUUUCCUUCUUUGUUAAGGGUCUCCUUAAAAUUGUGUGUUUGUAACUCUUAACAGCUGUUCUAGCCUCUCAUUAAUGCUGGUAUCUAUUUCAGAUGUUUUAAUUAUUGCAUUUUAUUUAUUUAUUUGCAUGUAUGUGGCGGGGGUGUUAAUAUGUAUGCAUGGAGGUCAUCGGACACUUUUUCAGGUGACAGUUCUGUCUUUUCACCAUGUGGAUCACAGAGAACUCAGGUUCUCAAAGUUGAUGACCAGUCCCUUAACUCACUGAGCCAUGUUACUGGUCCUUCUAAGUCUUUUUCUAUUGAUAUCUAUUUUGAAGUUUUGGUUAUAUCACAGCUACUUUCUCGUUUUGUUUGUUUGUUUGUUCUGGUUUUUUGAGACAGGGUUUCUCUGUGCUGUCCUGACUACCCUGGAACUCACUCUGUAGACCAGGAUGGCCUCUAGUUUAGAGAUCCACCUGCUUCUGCCUCCCGAGGGAUGGGAUUAAAGGCGUGUGCCACCAUUACCCAGCCAAGGUACUUUGUGUGCUUAGUAAAGCAUGGGCGUUUUGGCAGUUUAACUGUUGACUGAAUUUUGCUGUCUUCCUCCUCUUAAGAGUGCUGAGGUUGUUUUGGUCAGAAAGCAACUUACUUGAGAAUCAGCUUGGUAUUUUCAUCAUUUGAUUUUUUAAGUUCAUGGGAGGGGGGCAGAUAAAAGUAUCUUUCACUGUCUGCUAAAUGUAGGCUGCCUCCCAUAUCCUGACUUUCCUGUGGUCCCUUCAGAAUGGUCCAGAUGUGUAUCUUCAUACUGGCUUGUUAUAAGUUAAGCACAGCCCAGCUCUAAUCGUUCCAUUUAUAGAUACUUGCCAAUUAUCUCAACUUCUAGGAGAUUAAAAUUUGAAGAUCCACAUGUGUUUCUGCUUAGUUCCUCGAACACUCAACACUGUGCAUUCCUCUCUACAGCACUCAGUCAUAUUAUUCAGGAUACCAUUACCCUGGAAGUUGUGGUUGGAUAGGUGUCUGUGCUCUACCUGUCUCUCCUCCUACCUGUGCCUCUGCAGAGAGUUUGGUGCUCGCAGGGUUUCUUUCCUCAUGUUUCAUUCUUGGAGUGCUGCCUGUGAUAACCAUUGUCUAGCAUCUGAAACAUUAUCACAUCUGUUUUGUCCAGCUUUCCAGCUCUGAACAAGAGGCCUAAUCCAGUAUUGGUUGAUUCAUGAGCACCAAAAGUAGGGAGUAAUAUUUCUCAGACACAAUUUUUGUCAUUGGAUUUUUACAAUUUGAAGAGACUGUCUUGUAGAUAAAUGAUUUCUAAACCAACUCUCUAUGUAGCAGAUGCAAAUUUUUUAAAACUUACAACAAAUUUAUUUUUGAAUGUUAUGUAUAUAUGAUUUUUUUAGAAUGUAUAUGAUAAAAUUUUCUUUUUUAUAUUAAACUCUACUGAUAUGUCUUACCAUUGGCAUAGAUACAUGCUAAAGAGAGUAGUAGUAUUGUGUGCUUAUCUUAUUUAAUUUUGAGAGCAUUCCCCUGCUCUUUCUGAAUCAAUACUGUCCUCUGGGUUCUUCCCUCCUGCUUAAAAAUUCUCCUUUGCUAAUUUCUUUUCUUCCACCCAUAACUUAAGAGCAUCCCCUUGUCUCUGGACGUACUCACUACUGAGUUUCUGGUAGUGCUGAUGACUCCCAAAUCUAGAUACUGAUAUUUUUAUGGAGCUCAACCUUCUAUUUUGAGCUUGACAUGUGUGUUCCUCUACUUUAUACCACUGAAGACGUUUACAUAAUGUGUCAUUAGAUGUUUGGAAUUCUCAUCUCCAAAAUUGACCUCAUUCACAGAGCUAACUAUUUCCACCUUGCUCAUGUCAUGUUAGAAAUUCACUCAGCUCUUCAAACCCAGAAGCUAGGAGUUAUCCCAGAAAUGUGUCCUUCUAUAUUCAUAUAUACAUUCGUGAUUUUUCUGUAUCUCUGUUUAAAAAAUCCAAUAGUCACAAAUAAGUGAAAACACGCAGCUUUCUUUUUCCUAGGGUUGCAUUAAUUUGCUUACUAUGAUCAUUUUCUAUUGCAUCCGUUGUCUUACAAACAAUAUAACUUCACUCUUUAUGGUAAAAAAAAAUCUAUUAUGUAUAUUUCCACAUUUUCUUUAUUUUUUGUUGGACUCAUAAGUUGGUUGAAUAAUUUAACCGCUGUGAGUGAUAUAUAAUAACAAUUGCUGUGCAAAUAUUUUUAUGGUGGUUUGGAGUCCUUAAGUCUUUCUCUCAGUUCUAAUACAUAAUCACUACUGAGUCAUGCAAGUUAUACCUUCUCUAGCCAAACUGACUCUUCCUAGCUCAUUUUUCUAUUCCAAUUGUCUCCUAAUGCAUACUGAUCUAUAAUUUAGCACUCACCCCAUGACACCUUCCACACUGUUGCCAGAUCUAAGCAAGUAUGAUAUCACUUUCACCUGUUCUGAGUGACCAUGGUAAAGAAAUUCUCUAUCCCAUUCAUUUUGUUUGAGCAUUUCUUCCAACAGCACACAGAAGCCAGGGCAAUCACCAUAAAUGGCACCUACGAAAAUGUCCUUAACAUCUCAGAAAUUCUCUCCUGCUUAUCCUGACACCACCUUCAGUAUACAGGCACAUAAUAAUGUCAUUCCUUCGGUGUGCUCGAUGAACACAUGGGAAGCUAAAUGGGGAUUUGGAGUAGGGAGUGAAAAUGAAAGCCUCAAUGUAUUAUUGUAUAGGAAUGCCAACACUCCUAUGUUAUUUUAAUAGUAGCUCCACUUUCAUAGACCGCAUUUGGCCCAAUAAAAACAUCUUGACAAUUCAGAAGAACCUAGAAAGAAUAUUGUCAUUGGCUAUAAGCAAUACUCCAUUGUACUCAGUUGGCUUUGCAGUAGAGAAGUCAAGGGAAUGAGAAACAUUUGUUGUAUAUUGACCCCUUUGCUCUUAUGUCUAUGUUCAUGUGUGAUACAGUUUGAAUGAGAAAUGAGCCCCCUCCAUGAGCUCAUAUAUUUGAACACUUGGUCCCCAGUUGGCAGCACUGUUUGGAAAGGUUAUGGAAGCUUUAGGAGGCAGGACAUUGCUGGUGGAAGCAUGUCACUGGUUGUGGGCUUUGAUUAUUGCCUGACCUUGCUCCUUGUUCUCUUGCUCUGUUUUUGUUUUUUUUGUUUUGUUUGGUUUGGUUUGGUUUGUUUCAAGACAGGAUUUCUCUGUUUAGUUUGGAGCCUGUCCUGGAACUCCCUUUGUAGACCAGGCUGGGUUGGAACUCACAGAGAUCCGCCUGCCUCUGCCUCCUGAGUGCUGGGACUAAAGGCAUGCACCACCACCGCCCAGCUUCUCUUGCUCUGUUUUCUCCAUGAUGAUAAAGUGUGAUCUCUUUGCAUCCUGGCUGCCCAGCUAGCCAUGACUUCCAAACCGUGGUGGACUAUAACUCUUUGGAACUGUAGCCAAAAUAAAGCCUUCUUUUGCUAACUUGCAUGUUGUAGGGCAUUUUAUUACAGCAGCAGAAACGAAACUUGUACAAUGUGUACACACACGUGAGCACUCCUCAGGAAUUAUUUGCCAUGGGUAGUGUGUUCGCAGUUCUUAGAACUGCUUGGGAGCCCUGGUUUCUAUUGCCUUGGAAUUAAAGGCAUGUAGCUGACACUGAGGCAGUGUCCACUUGGUUGCUGUAGCCAGCUCAGUGUUACAGAACUAGAUUCUAAACAAUUUGGCAGAAACUGUGAUCAGAGGUCACAGAAGGAUAGAUUAAACACAAUGCCUCUCUCUUCUCCAACUUUCUUUUCUCUUCAUUUAUUUAUAGGUGUACUUUCUGCUUUCUCAGAAAUGCUUUUAGAAUAAAAUAUCUGGCACAAUAUGAAGUUUAAACCUUCAUCUUGGAGGCUAGAGCACAUGCUGGAGCAAAAGCUAAUUUAAAUACUGAGAUAAUUUUUUAGUUGGACGUUUCUCUCCUACUAAUCCACCAAUUAUAUGUGAGUGAGAAAGUAGAAGACAGAAGCAUAAAGAAAUAUGUAGGGGAACAGGCAAUUAAGGAUGGGAAGAGGCGAUUAAGGAACACUUGUAUGGUUUAUUCAUCAUCUUUUCAUCAUCUAAAAGCUAGUAAAAUGAGGCUAACAGCAACUUGACAGGUUAGAAGCUGAGCUGGUUCAUGCUAAGAACAUAUUGGCUAUUCUGAGAUCAAAUGCAGAAAGGAAUGUGCUCUCAUGGGCCAGUUGAGUCAUCUGGAGAAUCACUGAUGUGUUCCCAGCACGUUGGUAAAUUAUAAUGAAAGCUGGUCCUAGAAGCAAAGAGGGAGAUGAAACACUAAGCUGAAAGAGAAGAGAGAGAUCCUUACCUCCUCUUAGUUGUGGAAGAAGAGUCUUUGGGAGUUUGCUUCUCAGGUCUGCAGUCAUGUAAAGAAAAGGAAGAGAAAUGAAGAGAUGCUGGAGGAAGAUCACAUUGGCUCAACUAUAAAUUUAAUAUGAAGUGAUGAUUUUUGAUAAGCUGUGGUACUCAUUAAUGAGAGCUACAAAUAUGGAAUUGGUAAAAUUGUAACAGAGGUUUUUAGAGGUUUAAAAAAAAACAACAAAAAUCAGUGAACUUGGAAAGAAACCAGGGAAAGAGAGAACAGAAUGUCAUUCACUUCCUCUUAAACUGUGUUGAUAUUUGCAAAAGCUCCAACAGAGCAACAGCGUGGCACUCUCUGAAAGGAACAAAGAGACAUGACAGACCAGCUCUGCUCUUGAUGAGCCGUGAAAUUCUAUAUUAAAAAUGAAUAAAAGUCAUGAUGCUAAAUCCGAUCCUUUGCAGCCGUGAUUUGCUUCUCAGACAGGCCUUCACAUUACCAAUUACCAGAUUCCUGCAGGCAGGGUAAUGUUUUCAAAACAGUCGCUUUGAGAAAAGGAAUACUUAAGUGAAGCUAUAACCUUGAAAAGAGUCACCUUGAUAAGAACGUGUCUCCAGUCAUGCAUGACCGUCCCCUGGCUUUAUCUUUCACAGGACGCUUGUUUUUCAGAUGUUUCUGUAGGAUGUAACAUUUAGUAUAAUGAAUAAGUAUCACACUGUCUUGUUAAUCAGGCAUCCAAAGUGUUUUCAUUGUAAUUAUGGCAAUCCCAAAUCAGCUGCUUCUGGAAAGAAUGAGCAAAGAGGAGAAGGAGACAAUAAAACUAGCAGGGCUUGGCACAGUACUGGAAGCAUAUGGAUGUUCAGAAUCAUGGUUAAUGGGAGAACAAAGAUUAUGAUAACUUUGCAAUGGAAAUAAUUCUCACUGAGUCUGUGCAUUAAUCAAAUGGACCAAGUUCUUUGAAAAUCAAAAUUAUUACCUUUAUAAUAGAUGGUACUAUUAUAUGUGUUUUGUAUAUGAAGUAAAUGGCUUAAAAAGCAUCAUGGCCAUGGAACCUUGGUCAACAAAUUGUGGAAGAGUGAGCCAAGUUCUGCUGAACCUAAGUCCCUAUUCUUGCCUACUGUCUUCUCCUCAGAGUCUCUUCAGUUGAUUAAUAAUGAAGUGCCUUAUAGUAUAUUAAAUAAACCAAAACAGGAUUAUAAAAUUUCAGGCCAAACAAAGAAAACAAUACUCUAUAUUCUACUUGUGCAUUAUUUUAUAUUUUUCUAGACAGUUUUGUAAAUCUAAUACUUUCUAUGACAACAAUUUCAUGGUUUCUGAAACCCUUUUGCACAUCUUAGAUCAACUGCUUCUUAUAACUUUCCAGUAAAAUUAAGGCAGGCUCCCUGGAGCUCAAGGAGACCUGCUGACUUUUAUGUAUACCCAGAACUUGCAAAAUGAGAUUUGGAUGCAAGCCUUCAGUUCCACGUUUCUGUGCCUUCCACUAUAUAGAUCCACUGACAGAUUUGAAUUUUAGCUCAAAAUCUGCAAACACCACUCAGUUAUUCUGAGUCUACAGGUCCCAUUGUGGUAUUCUAGUCUAUGUUUUCAUUAAAGCUUAACCAAUACAGUUUUCUGUAUUUUGGUCUGUAGGAUACAGUAAGCGGUAGUGUUGGAGAUUCUAAUAACUGUUGCUAAAUGUUUACAUCUCUAAAGCACUUGAAAGACAUGUAUGCUUUAUCUCCAGCCAACCACCAUACAUGCAAAGAAAGACACUCAGAUCCUGCUGAAAGCCUUUGGCAUUGCUCGUCACAUCCUUCAGAAAGAUGUUUGUCCAAAAUGAACACAUGUCCAGCUGAACAACACAGAAGAUUCCAGUGGGUAAAAUCCAACUGUAAGCAGUCAGUAAACACAUCUUGACUACAGUAUCAGAUAGUUGGUAAAUGCUGGCUCAUUGAUACUAUGAUUACAUUUGCUAUUGUAUAAUGAAGUGAUUUAUUCUGUUUUAAUCUGAUCUGAAGCCAAUACUUUGAUGAAAUAACGUGUGUAUUUAUGGAUGGAGGACAUCAGUGCAGUAAGAGAUGGCAAAGAAUGUGGGUCAUAUGUAAAACUAUGACUCUGUAAGUCAUAAAUGAACUAUUCAAAUAUAUGAUAGCCUAAAUUAGAUCAUCUACAAUUCCCUUUACUGAAAAACAUAAUAAUGAAGAAGGAAAGAAACAUCCACUAGUUAAAAAUUUAUAAAGUAAUAGCAUAAUGUGUCUUUUUUAAGACUCAGUUCUCCUCAUGAAUAAGGAACACCAGUAACAUCCACUAACCCUCAACAUGGGUUGAGAAGGGAGUAUAAAUGACUGAUAGAUUUGAGCAAGUUUCUGAUGGGUUUCUAUUUUUCGAGAUCUUCUCUCUGAGAAAGAUUCAUCUAUAUUCCUGUGUAUUCAAAACUACAGAUGUACCAGUGGAAAAUUUUUUGGUCAUUAACUUCUGGCCUGUGGGGCCUAUGACAAGAUGGCGCAAUUUUAUAGCAAGUAAAGAUAUUAGUUAAUUAGCAUGUAUUUUACAAUACUUGAGUAUGACAUAUAUGUAAAUUCCAUAGGCACCUUUAUUAAAAAUUAAUGCAAAGGGCAUGCAGAAUUGGAGCCUAGGAAGGGGGCUUACUAGGUACAAGCACGUGUUGCCCAAGUGUGAAGAUAUGAGCUCAAACCCACGUAAAAAGCUAGGCUUGGCUACACAGGCAUUUGUAAGCUGUGGAAGUGCUGUGGAAGACAGGCAGGAGCUUCACUGGCGCAUUCUGUCUGUCACCUCAGCUCAGGCUCAGUGAGAGACCCUGUCACAAGCAAAUAAGGCUAAGUGUGAUGGAGAAGGACACCUGAAGUCCCCUUCUGGUCUCUGUGUGCACACAGGCAUACCUCCCCCAACAUGUGUGCAAAUAGAGCACACAUACACACACACACACACACACACACACACACACACACACACACACACACACACACACACACACAGCUGAAGCCCACCUAGAACUAAAAUCUCUGGAUCUAGUAGAGUGGGGAUAGUUCUGAUUGUCAUGUGAUGAAGACCAUUUGUUUUGGUUUGCCUAUGAAACACCCCCAGAGGUUUCUGGGGCUUCUUCUCAUUCCAGCAUCACUGUUUUGAGAAGAAGUAGAAAGUGCAAAAGUGAAACUCGGUUGAAGGAAGAUCCCCGAGGGUGCGCCUUUGAACGUUACCUUGUCCAUCUGUGGUACAUCGUUCCCCUCUCUUCCUUGCUGCAACGAAAUGAACAACUUCCAUCGCCAAGAUGUUCUUUCUCAUCCUGACACAGUGGACCACAGACUGAGACCUCUGGAAAUGUGAGCCUAAAUAAAUCUGCCUCACUUUUAAAUUCUUCUUUCUCGUGUUCAUCAUGACUAACAUUCGAUGAGGAAAUGGAUGAGAGAGAUCCUGGCAUAGUAGCUGGUUUAUUGCGCAUGCUCAGUAGAAUGCUCAAUAAUGCCAAUAAUGCGCUUGCUCUUCUCUCAUCACCAAGUCGGCCAUGGUCGGUCACACUUCCAGGGGAAGGUGCUUUCAGGUGUGUUUCUGCACUUUGAUUUCCAUUUUAAACUCUUGAUCUGGGCGGGAAGUGCCACUUGGGCCACAACUCUUGUCCAGUUCUCUAAUGAGAACAGGAGCUCCUGAGAUUCAAGUAUCUUCAGAUGGGACCAUGGUAACUGUUCCUGUUGGAUUUCCCUGUCAGCUCAGACUUCAGCUACUGUGCCUGGACCCCAGCUCUCUGUUUCUUCCCUUCCCUUCCCCAAAAGAAAUGUUACUAUCCAAACCAUGCCCAAACCAAGGCCUUACCUCAUAAAAAGAAUGCUUCUAGUCUGUUCUUUGAUUGCUGGAAGUUUGACUUGCUCUCUGCUUCAUCUUUCUUAUCUGUGUAAUAGGAAUUACCAGUCCCAAAUAACUUCUUUCACUAACUAGAUAUUGUUGCAAGAACCCAAGCACACGUGAUGUUCUCACUAGGACCAUAUAGCCAGAGACUCCUAUUAGGUCAGAGUUGAUGGUGAUGACCUUUUGAUAUUGUAUCCUAUUGCUUUUUGACAGACAGUCCUAGGGAAAGAAGGGGGUUGCCCAUCUGCCCUAUGCUGACAUGCAGACUGACAGCACCAUGCCUAAAGUUUGUGUUGUUCACCCUGGCUCACUUCUAAAGAUACCUUAUGAGUUCAGUUGUCCAGGUCCAAGUAAGGCUUGACUUCCAGAGUACUGAUGACACCCAUGCCACUUGUGUGGCAAGAAUCACCUCAGGAAUGUUCUAGGUAACACCCUUCUGUAUGUCAAACUGACGCCUUGCUUGAAACUUAGAUUUGGAUCUUGCUCUUCUGUCAGGAUAAAUAAAACCUGCAUUUUCAUUCUGCUUUGUUGGGAAUGUCUUUCCUCUUUCCAUGCUUAACACAUCACACUAAAAAAAAAAAAUCAGCUUCGCAGAUCCACUGUAACCUUUCCAAUGGAAAGCAAAUAUCUUCCUUUUUACCAACUGAAAGCUGUGGCUUUGGGCAUGGACUUACUCCAAGUGAUGUAUUUAUUUUAGCAUCUUUAACAGAGUCACCCAGACCCAUCUUACUAAUGUUUUUUCCUGAUACUAAAGGCAAAGGCCAUUUGAGAAUAGAAAAGCAGCUCCAAAUCUAAGCUGAAUUUGCCUGGAGAUUCUUGGUUCGUUCUGUUUAGAUGACUCACUUUACAGUAAAUCCCGAGUCCAUGGUCAGAAAUGUUGUGAGUAUGAGUCAGACAGGAGAGAGGCUUAAUAAAAACAACAGGCAGCAGCCCGGGCACUCCAUGUGGCAGCAUCAUGAAAUCUCAGGCCCUAAUAAACUGACUUUGGAAUGGUCUUUCUGGGAAUAGCUGCAUGCUGCAGAAGGCUCAUUCUUCCUGCAGAUCCCUGCCUGCUUUCCUGAGAGAGGGCUGUGGAAGCAGGAAUCGCAUGUUCUUGUAUUUUAAUCACUAUUGUGGCAACACGGGGUAAUAUUAUUGUAGCAUCCAGCCAGCUGACGAGAGGAGAUUAAACACGAUUUCCACAGCAAUACAUUAAAACUCCAAAUGAGCCGGUGGAGCUGUGGUGACCUCCAGUGAACCCUGGCUUCAUGACUCAGAAGCAAAAUGCAGCCAGGUUGGGACCAGGAUGGCUUUGGAGAAGAAGCAGGCUCUGGCUUUUCUGCCUCACUGAGCUCUCUGUGCACAGACCCAGAGCUCCUGGCACAAAAGGAGAAAUGGGUGGAGAGUCUCAUGCAGCACAUUACGGAAAGAAUCCAAAGGAAUUUUAUUUUAAAUGAAAAGAAGUGUUGCUCAUAACGAUCUUAAACCCCAGUGGUCACCAGAGGUCCCUUCUGAAUACCCGAAUAUCUCUUUCGAGCACUCAUUGUGUGCCUUUCAAGAGAAAUCCAGAGGACGACCUUGAAGUCUCUUUGGUCCCUUGUUUUUUCCAUGAGGCAGAUCGUAUUUUUGUAGUUUAAGUUCAAGUCUGCCAAUUUGCAUUAGCAUAUCAUCUGCCUGGUUACCAAGAAAAUGUUCCUGAAGAAGAAGAAGAAGGAAAAGAAAAAAAUGGAGCCAGUUCAUGGUCAUUAAGCUUGCAUCAGGAGCAUGAAUCAGCAGUCUGAAGGUGGCAAGGCUGAGGUUGAAGCAUCCCAGGGAUCUGGCACAGCCUGUAGGAGAGCUCUGGGCUGCCCUCUGGAGCGUGUUUGACCACAUCCUGGGUACACAGCAUCCACCUUCCACUAAGGAAAGGUCUGGGAAGACCUAAGACAUGAGAACUGCCUAAUGCCCACAGAUCUACAUUCCCCGACUUCUUUAUCAACCAAUUGUAAAAACAAAGGGAACGUUUGACAGUAUUAUAUGUCCAUGAAUCUUUGCUCUUGAAAGAGCUAUAAAGUCAUGUAAAAACAAGUAAAAAUAUAAUUUACUGUGAUUUGCUUUAAACAUUUUGUAUCAUUGGUACAGAAAGACAAUACCAAUGGAAUGGGUGGCUUGUGUGUGCAUGAAGACGUAUAAGAGUAACAAAAUAGUUUUCACCUGCUGUCAUUCUUGAAUCUAGUUUGCUUCUUCUUGUAUCUCCCAUGCCUCUGGGCAAUACCUCUGGGCAAUGCCCCUGCCUCACAGUAAACACUCUGAAAAUGAUUAGCAAAUGUAGCGCUUUUCCAAAGGAGUACUCUCCAAACACAACUCACAACUUCUCAAGUGAGGAAACUGAGGCACGGGCAGGUCAAGGGCCUUCUUCAAAGUGGGGUGGGGGGGAGACACUUGAUGGUAGAGUCAGGCCUUGAUUCCCACCUCUGAUGUUUCAGUUCUUGACUGUAUCAUUUAGCAAGGCUGUCAAUCAAAAACUCUGUACCUCUUGCUGUAAGUUUAUGCGAGGUCACUGGGCUCCAUCAUUGCAUCUCUCUGGGAGUCCGUGAUCAGGGAGCAAUGAGAAGUCAUGAACCUGUAGAAAGCUUCAUUUCUAGGUGCUGCCUAAGGAGUCAGAGCUGAGAGCUGAGAGGAGCUGCCCUGAUAAGAGUCUGCACAAUACAGCUCAGGGAGAGAUGGAAUGAGAAGGUAUCAGCAGAGCCACCGAGACUCAGGCCACCUGGACACUCACAAAAGAGCACCUGCAGAAGGAGUGAAGCAGUGCUUAAGCAAGACAAUGCAUUCUGCCUUCUGCGCUUGCCAUCCUCACUCUCACUGAGUCUUUUUGUAGCCCUCCCUGGUGAUACUCUGAUGUCCAUACCUUCAAGGUGGCCAGAUUAUUUGGAUUGCUCUAUCCAUAGUUAGAAUGCUGGGUUUUUUUUAAUGAUAUCCUAUUGACUUCUCAGAUGCAGUUCAUAGGAACUUAUUUCUGUCCGGGGUCCUCUGAUGUCACAGAGGUUUUCAAAUUAGGUAGCCAUAUUUUAAGUCUCAGAAUGAACAGACACUACCGCUAAGAACCAUUGUGUACUGAAUUCGGUAUUCAGUACAUUUCCUCUGAACUUUAGGAAAGAUACAUUCUUUUUGUAGACUUCAGAAGAAUUUAUCAUCAUACCCUCUCCUAACAGACAGUCUCCCUGUAAUAACAGACUCUUACACGAGAAAGGAGAAAUAAAACACUGUGAAGCUAAGCCAUAUGUGCCUUAAUCUUGACUUUCCACAGCAAAGCAACUUGAUAAAAUGUGACUAUAAAUCACUGAAAAAUUUCUUAAAGAUAAUAAAAUACAUGUCAUUUGAAGGGAGAAAGACAUGGCCAUCAUAGACAUGGGGUUGCUUGUUUAAUGGCUCGUGGGGCUAGAGAGAUGGCUCGUCUAGAGAUGUGCAGUCAAAAGUGCUUGCUGCACACCCAAGUUAUGUAUCUAAUACCCACAUCCAGUUGCUCACAACUGCCUGCAACCCCAGCACAGGGAAAUCUGACACCUUCUUCCUGCCUCCACAGUGCACCAGUGUGCACUGUAGCUGAGGUUUUCCUAGCCUUGCCCGGCUCCCACGGCCCUGAGGCCACUUGGACCCAAGUGAACACACAGAGGCUUAUAUUUAUUAAAACUUCUCAGCCAUUAGCUCAGGCCUACCACUAACCAGCUCUUACAUUUAAACUAACCCAUAAUUCUUAUUUAUGUUUAGCCACGUGGCUUGGUACCUUUUCUCAGUUCUGCCUUCACAUCUUGCUUCCUCUGUGUCUGGCUGGCGAAUCCUGACUCAGCCUUCUGGUUCCCAGCAUUUUCCUCUCAGCUCAUCCCACCUAUACUAUACUUCCUGCCUGGCUAUUGGCCAAUCAGCAUUUUAUUUAUCAACCAAAUCAGAGCAACAGACACUCACAGCACACAGAACGACAUUCCCAUCAGUGCACAUACUCACAGGCAGACACAAAUACAAACAUGUCAUCAAAAAUAGAGAAAGUAUUUUUAAAUGACUCAAAAAUGUAUACAUUAAAGCAAAAAUAUUUCAUUGGGUGGUUAUUUAUUUAAAGUGCCUACCCAAAUUUAGUAGUCACUGUAACUGCAUUUUCUCAAAUUCACUUUAAAGUUUCAGAAAUGAGAUACAACAAUGAAGGCUCCAUCAUCAUAAAUGAUAGGGAUUUGGGGAGCAAUGAUUACGGCACCAUUCCACAAAAACCCAUUUGUAAGCACACAGGUGAUCUUAGAAAGGUGUAUUGACUGGGGCAGAAGUGAAAAACUGGACUAUGCUGCAGCCUCUCAUCUGGUAGAGCUUUCCUGUGUCAGAGCACUCAAGCUAGGAGUAUCUGGAGACAGCAGAGAGUUUAGAGCAAACUGUCAGUGGCCCUAGCUACAGCUAGAUGAAAGUCAUUUGACUUGAUGAAAUGCAUAUGUGUGUACUCGGGGACGUUCGCUGUCUUCAUCUAUAAACUAAAAAAUCCAUUACUUAAAAGUCAACCAAGCGAGAUUGGAUGACCAUCAUGACUACAAAGGUCUUUUAUAAACUUAAAUGCUUUGCAGAUGUAGCUAUGAUUUUUAAGAGGUCAUUAUUGCAAUGGUGGCCUUCUGUGCUCUGAUUCAAUUAUCAUACUGUUUAAAUAGGGAAGAAUUCUCAAUGUGAAGAUUGAUUGAAACAUUAAAUGGAUGUAUAUGAUUUUUAUAAGCAUGAAUCAAAAGCACCAUUUGUCCUACUACAGUAGGAAUGGAUGAGCCAAGCAGAGAGGCAAAAGACCUUCUGGAGAAGCUUGGCGGGAGCUCUCAAGCCAACCACAUAGAAUUCCAUGUCUGCCUUUUCCUUCACUUCCUAAAUAACUGGGGAAAUACGAUCAUGUGUGUGUGUGUGUGUGUGUGUGUGUGUGUGAGAGAGAGAGAGAGAGAGAGAGAGAGAGAGAGAGAGAGAGAGAGAGAGAGAGAGUGCACUCACGCCAGUUUAGUAUUCUUUUGCUUUUAUGUUUUCACUGGAAGGAAAACUAGUAGAGAACGAGAAAUAAAAUAUGAUAAAUCAUUUAGGAAGAAGUUGGAGGCACUAGAAAUAAACUCUGGGGGGAGAAUAUAAUAUUGAAAAUAAGGAAGGUGAAUUUUGUUGCCAGGGAAAUGAGGAACAAAUCAAUAUGAGGUAAAGUAGGUGCCAAAUCAAAGGAAAGAGGAGAGACGGGAACAUUUUUUGGACUUGUCAAAACAACUCAUUAUUGUACCAUCUGUGCCAAGGUCUUCAGAGUCAGUACAUUUAUUUAUAUUUGCUCACCAGACCACUAUAACUACUUAGUAUCAGCAUUCACCUCUCCCAAAAGACAAGCAUUGCUAACCUGAUAUUCUGUAUUCUGCAUCAGCUGCCACACUUGGUCAUUUAAAUGCUUUACUUGGACCAUGGCCCUGGCACAGGUACCUCCAGGCUCACAGUAUAGUCCUUUUUUUAUAAUAUUCUCAUUGUUAUUUAGUGUAUUUGAAGCAAGGCAAAAUCGCUUGCAUUCAAUAUAAUGGUACACACCAGUAAUCUCACCACAGGAGGCAAAGGCAGGAGGAUUAUAAAUUAUAUGACUGCUUGAUCUAUACUGGGUAAGUGGGCAGGGGAAGAGAAAGGGGAGGUGGGUAUGAAGCAGGUACAGGGCAGGAGGAAGAAGGGAAGGAAAGAAGGAGAGAGAGAGGGAGGGAAGGAGGGAGGGAGGAAGAGAGAAAAAGCUACUUGCACACUAGCCUUCUACGGGGUCCAGAAUCUAUUCACUCAUGCCUCCCAUUAUUAGUAGUGCCACCCAGAAAUUUCUGGAGAGGUAAGGUGGCAUUCAGCUCCCUCCUCCACAAGAUCAUUACAUAAUAUGACAUCAAGUAUCUCUACAAUUUAGAAAUUCUGUCUUUGGAAUUUCUACUUCUGUCAUUCCAUGAACGACAAACAUCUAAUAAGACCUUAAGACUGCAGAACCUUAGCCACAGAUGGAACAUUAGGUAAGGCCCAUCUUACAUUUUGCAGAUGAAAGAACUUUGGGCAACAGUUGCUACUUGGCCAAGGUCACACACUAGUUACAAAGAGCCAGAAUAAAAUUUUUCUUCGCUGACUCCCAGGAUCCCCUUCUUACUCAUAGUGCUUCCUUCUCCAAAUAAUAAAACACUACAGCUUAUGCAUUCUCAUGUUUUAAGAAACCUGCUACAUUUUGGUAACUGACUUUUUGUUUUAUCAGUUCAAACUUGAUUGAAACGUUUAUUUUUAAGUUAGUGGCUUUGAGAUGUUUUUUCACAUACUGAGAAACAUCAUGCACAAAGACACAGUGUGCAGCAUACUUAAUGUCAACUCUACUUGCUGCCAGAAGGAUCAAGAGUGGAAAGAAAGCUGCACACAAAAGCUGGCCUGAGAACAAAUCUCCAACCUGCUUGACUUGAGAAGUCUACUGAAGAUAAGUAGACACUGUCCUUCUAGACCAGUGUUAAGUGGGUAAGGUUCUUUGUCAUCACACUGCUUAGUGACUUAGCAGUUCUACAUCUAAAGAGCUCUCUAAAUGCCCAUAAAGGACUCUGGAAGAUAUAAGGAAAAAGUAAGCUAAAAAUUUAUAGUCUAUAUGUCCAAGAGGAAGCCAUCUUGCAGAAAUAUCAAGAAUCAUGAAAAAAGCUACCCCUUACAAUUGUCAUUGGUGUUACUACAUUUUAUUACAGUUGUCUUAAGAGAACAAAAUGAACAGAACCACAGCUUUGAAGAGAAAUCCACUGAAACUCAGCAAAGGGCUGCUGUCUAAGAAUGCCUUUCUUAGAAGACCUGAGCUAAAACAGCUAUUAACCAGGUAAAUCAUACUAAGCAAAUACGUAUCUCUCACAUCCAUGUUCUUUGCAUAUUUUUCCUUCAUGGAUGUGUGCAAAUACACAUUUAUGGGUGUAUAUGAAUGCCAACUGUACCAUUAAGGUGUUUGUAAUUGCUGUGGAAUAUUAGCUGAUGUUUAUUUUUUAGAAGUCAGUAAGAAAGGGUUAAAAGCCAGCAAAUUGCAUCAGAAAUAUGUCUCCUGAUUCACUUUCAGACACUACAUGCAUGUAAUCAUGGUGUACAUGUGCACAUACACCCCUCUGAUUUAUUCACAUGCAUGCACCUGCUCAUGGAGACAUUUUUGAUACCUGGGGAACAAGCAGAAGGUUACUCAUUAGAGUGAGGCUAGCCACUUUAGGAUCUGCCAAGUCUCAGUCAGUCUUAGCACUAUCUACUUCAUUAGAUCUAGAAAAUCAUUUGCCCCUCCACCUUCUGCGUCUGUCUGUGAGCAUACUUUCAUAAAGAUUAAUUAAGGAUGAGCGCCUACCCUAAAUAGGUAACUGGGUAGCACCAUCCAUUGGGCUGGGGACUGGAUAGAAUAAUGAAGAAAAACAAAAGGGCCCUUGAAACAGUUGCAUUCCCCUGUCUCUGUUUCUUGUCUAAAAUGAGGGUAGAAAGAAUGUCCUCUGACAUUAUAAUAUCCUGCUCAAGUGCAUGGGACCAAACAACCCUUGACUGAAUUCUUUGAAGCCAUGAGCCAAUAAACCCUUUAUUAAAUGGUUUCUUUCAUAUAUUUUUACCAUACCUAAGAACAGUAAAUAAUAGGCCAGGUUAGUUCAAAGUAAAUUUUUGAAGAAUGUUAGCUGGAUGUCCCCUCAUGAUGGUAAUUAUGCCUCACACUUCUGCUCUUUAUUUCUUGGCUUGUCUUCAUAUCAUCAGACUUUGUAAAUUCAGAUACAAAGUACUGAAAAUUUGGGGAUUGGUUUGGUGGCCUAUAAUUUAAUAAGUUCUGGAUAGGCUAUUUCCAAGAGAACAUAACAUCUUUCCCUCAUAACACACACACACACACACACACACACACACACACACACACACACACACACACACACACACACACCCCUGGACACAUACUUACAUUAAUACACAACAGCAUUCAGAAUUUUAUCAGUGUUUCUUUAUGUGUGUGCCCACAAAAGUAGAAAUAGCAUUCACUUUUAGUGUGUUCUAACGAUUUCCCUGCAGGUUAUCCAAACAGUAUCUCUGAAAAGAAUACAUCAAAGGCCACAUUCAAAUUGUCUUUUGAAUGAUGCCCUUGCCAGCAAUGAAAAUGAACUCUUUCCCAAGUGCCCAGGGGCAGUACUAAAAAAGAAUCAGGCACUGGCCUUAAUGAAAAUCCAGUUUUAGGACUAGAAGCAAUUUAAUAUACUGUAUCUUUCCUCCGAGGUCAUGACUGUGUCUCAAGAAGGUUCUAACAAACAGUACUUGGGAAUAAAAAGGGCCACAUGUAAAAUAUCUACUGGGAAAAGAUCUUUGCUUUGCAACAUUCAUGUACAGGGAAGAAAAUGAAGUCUUCACUUUCUGUGACACACCAAUGAUGAGCCAUUUGCCCGGUCAGGUAAAAAGCAGAGUGAACUAACUGUCGGUCUGGAGUUCUAGUCAACCGGGGCCUUUCUUUUGUUUAGUUUCUGAUCUUGGCCGAGUUAGUUCUUUGAUUCAGGAUUCUUAUUUGUAAAAUCAGCGUGAACAUGUCAGCUUCCAAAUCGUUGUGGCUGAGGACAACCAGAGCAAAUGACUUUCAGAUGUCAAAAUGAUUUGAAAUUAAACGUCCUCACAAACAGGAUUUAAGAUGCAGGGUGCACGGAGGGCAAUGGCCGCACUCCCGAGCGCCCAUUUGGGUUGAAUGGCCACGUGGCCAGUUUGAGAUGAGUGUCUAGGCUGCUAAUGUGUGUUGUGGUUGUCGAUGUUGCGAAAGCCUCUUCUUCUACCCGUAGAUUAUUUGAUGCAGCUGUCUCCAGUGUCUGCCUGCUUGAUCCUUCCCCCUUUUAGUGCUAAUAUAAUGAAGAGAAUGACUUUGAAGUGAUCCAAAACCCCUAGCUGAUUCUCCAGCUGGCCGUAAUUGUUGCUUGCUUGCAUAAAUAAUAAAGGUCUUCUGAGUAAAUAUCACACGAUCUGAUGUGUCCUGAUGCACAUGAGGGAAUGGACUGUGAAUGAAUAUGGAGAGUGUGGAGAAACUCUGAUCUUAUUGAAUUUAUGCCGAUCUCAUAAAUCCAAGUGGACGGCGUUCAUCAUGAUGCUAGGUGUGUGAACCGGAAGGAGAGAAGCAGAUUCCUGUAUGGUCUCCAGAAUUGGAGAGAGAUAAGCUAUCUGAUAUUUUUAAGAAGAUCUGAGGUCAGUGAAGGAAGUCCUGUGCCAAAGACUGAAAGCAGCCGGCUAUGGUGGCACACACUGGUAGGAUUUGCUGAAGGAGGCAGAAGCAGGAGGAUCACGAGUUCGAGACCAUCUGGGGGCUACACAUUAAAAAAAAAAAAAGAAAAAGAAACAAAAAGAACUGGAGGCAAAUAAUAAAUGGAAGAGAGAGGGUCUUGGGAAACCCUGGUGACUUCCAGGCCGUUUAAUUUGGAGAGCUUCCCCAGUGAGCAUGUGGCUGACAUCUAUCUACAAUGCACACAGAGCAGGCCUUCCUGACAAAACUCUAAGGCCCGUCUUAAUGGAUCACAGGAAGCGUUUCACAGCAUGAGUCACUGGUGUUUCGAAGCAACAUCAAUUUGGUCAUAAUCGGUUUCUAUGGUUUCCACAGUUAUCACUCUCUGCCUUGAUAAUAAGCACCAAUAAAACCUGACCUGAAUGGGCAAUAACAAGAGAAGCAUCUAAAGGACACUCCUUUUAUAGUUUCCUUUCUUGUAAAACACUGCAGUGACUUCUUUUGCUGAGGCUAUCCUAAAAUUUACUGCUCAGUGCAGUCUGAGGUAAUUGGCAUUCAGCAUUUCAGGAAGGUUCUUUGCAGCAACAGGAUCGAUGCCGUGCGAUCAGAAUCAAAGAAAAUCUGCAUAGAAGCAGGAGUAAGGAGACAAACAUGUCAAAAACUGCUCGAGCGUGGCGUAAGCAAAACAGCUGCCAUGACCAUGAUGCAAGAGAAACACAUAAUAAUAAUAAUUUAAAAAAAAUCCCACAUCGCAAAUAUAUCGGGAACUGAUGGUGCUGUCCCUGAUGGAAAUCAAUCCAGGAGGAUAAACAUCAGUUGCAAUGCAAGUGAUCUUUCUUGGAGUCACAGAGAGACGGCCUUGAAAUCAACUUUCAGCCGGCCAGGGCUAAGAAAGAGAUGGGCAGCUGUUCAUGUUGUAGUGGCUUAAGGGCAGUACAGUUACAAUGACAUCUUUUGGUGGAAGGCAGCAACUAGGUGCAUCUUCUGUGACAUGCACCUGACCUUUUCCCGGUUAGGACUUUCCCAGGGUGCCUUUCUGCUUCAUAUAAAGUACACUAGGAUUAAAAAGAAGGGGCCUGCUCUCUGCAGCACCUAAUUCUAAGGAUAGCCCCCUACCUCUACUACAUCCCUUUCUCCACUCUUCCACACCUGUCAUGACAAGCCACUGCCUCCCUGGGCUCCCUUCCUGAGCAUAGGAAGUCCUUCAUUGACUUCACCAAUGGGCUCUCGGGUGCAUGUCCUGGAUGGAGAAAGUGACAUAGUUUUGUUAUCUUGCAGGACUUUUUAUCUUGAGCCUUUUCUGGAACAGUAAGAAGACAAGCAAGGGCUCAGGCUUUCCCAGGGGCAGCACAACCUGACAGAAGACAUCCUGUUGCCAGGGCUUUUACUGCUGAUGAGGUGUGAAUCAUGCAGAGAAAAACCCCUGGCAAGGAGCCAUAAGGACCUGUCUUUUUCUGAUGCACUGGGAAAUCUGGCUGUGUUCAGAUUUUUCUGUCUUGUAUAACUUUUAUCAACUUACUUGCUACCUCUCAUUCACAAGUUCUUCAUCUAUAAAAUGGAAAUGAUAAUAAAGCCCUCAACAUGC